AAAUUGAAGAGUUUGAUCAUGGCUCAGAUUGAACGCUGGCGGCAGGCCUAACACAUGCAAGUCGAACGGUAACAGGAAUCAGCUUGCUGAUUCGCUGACGAGUGGCGGACGGGUGAGUAAUGUCUGGGAAACUGCCUGAUGGAGGGGGAUAACUACUGGAAACGGUAGCUAAUACCGCAUAACGUCGCAAGACCAAAGAGGGGGACCUUCGGGCCUCUUGCCAUCAGAUGUGCCCAGAUGGGAUUAGCUAGUAGGUGGGGUAACGGCUCACCUAGGCGACGAUCCCUAGCUGGUCUGAGAGGAUGACCAGUCACACUGGAACUGAGACACGGUCCAGACUCCUACGGGAGGCAGCAGUGGGGAAUAUUGCACAAUGGGCGCAAGCCUGAUGCAGCCAUGCCGCGUGUAUGAAGAAGGCCUUCGGGUUGUAAAGUACUUUCAGCGGGGAGGAAGGGAGUAAAGUUAAUACCUUUGCUCAUUGACGUUACCCGCAGAAGAAGCACCGGCUAACUCCGUGCCAGCAGCCGCGGUAAUACGGAGGGUGCAAGCGUUAAUCGGAAUUACUGGGCGUAAAGCGCACGCAGGCGGUUUGUUAAGUCAGAUGUGAAAUCCCCGGGCUCAACCUGGGAACUGCAUCUGAUACUGGCAAGCUUGAGUCUCGUAGAGGGGGGUAGAAUUCCAGGUGUAGCGGUGAAAUGCGUAGAGAUCUGGAGGAAUACCGGUGGCGAAGGCGGCCCCCUGGACGAAGACUGACGCUCAGGUGCGAAAGCGUGGGGAGCAAACAGGAUUAGAUACCCUGGUAGUCCACGCCGUAAACGAUGUCGACUUGGAGGUUGUGCCCUUGAGGCGUGGCUUCCGGAGCUAACGCGUUAAGUCGACCGCCUGGGGAGUACGGCCGCAAGGUUAAAACUCAAAUGAAUUGACGGGGGCCCGCACAAGCGGUGGAGCAUGUGGUUUAAUUCGAUGCAACGCGAAGAACCUUACCUGGUCUUGACAUCCACGGAAGUUUUCAGAGAUGAGAAUGUGCCUUCGGGAACCGUGAGACAGGUGCUGCAUGGCUGUCGUCAGCUCGUGUUGUGAAAUGUUGGGUUAAGUCCCGCAACGAGCGCAACCCUUAUCCUUUGUUGCCAGCGGUCCGGCCGGGAACUCAAAGGAGACUGCCAGUGAUAAACUGGAGGAAGGUGGGGAUGACGUCAAGUCAUCAUGGCCCUUACGACCAGGGCUACACACGUGCUACAAUGGCGCAUACAAAGAGAAGCGACCUCGCGAGAGCAAGCGGACCUCAUAAAGUGCGUCGUAGUCCGGAUUGGAGUCUGCAACUCGACUCCAUGAAGUCGGAAUCGCUAGUAAUCGUGGAUCAGAAUGCCACGGUGAAUACGUUCCCGGGCCUUGUACACACCGCCCGUCACACCAUGGGAGUGGGUUGCAAAAGAAGUAGGUAGCUUAACCUUCGGGAGGGCGCUUACCACUUUGUGAUUCAUGACUGGGGUGAAGUCGUAACAAGGUAACCGUAGGGGAACCUGCGGUUGGAUCACCUCCUUA
rnacentral:rRNA from 1 species